rnacentral:lncRNA from 1 species
GGAAUCUCUGACGAAGUGCCAACGACCGGUCGCGUAGAGGAAACAACCGGUCGCCAAGUAAUCUGCCUGGAAGCGAUCGGUCUCCCAGAAGAAGUGAUCGAUCACCAAGCAAUCUACCUGGAACAGACCGGUCGGUCCGACGGUGACGACCGGUCCCACGCCUCGAUGACUGAUGACUGCUAGGAAAUGGCCGGUCUCCCAGAAGAAGCGACCGAUCACCAAGUAAUCUGCCUGGAACCUAUCGGUCGCUCAGAAGGUAACGACUUGUAG